rnacentral:sRNA from 1 species
GCUGGGUGUGGUGGCUCACCCCUGUAAUCCCAGGGGCUUGGGAGGCUGAGGCAGGAGGAUUGCUAGUUUGAAGCCAGCCUCAGCAACUCAGUGAGGCGCUAAACAAUUCAGUGAGACCCUGUCUCUA